UGGGGAAUAUUGCACAAUGGGCGCAAGCCUGAUGCAGCCAUGCCGCGUGUAUGAAGAAGGCCUUCGGGUUGUAAAGUACUUUCAGCGGGGAGGAAGGGAGUAAAGUUAAUACCUUUGCUCAUUGACGUUACCCGCAGAAGAAGCACCGGCUAACUCCGUGCCAGCAGCCGCGGUAAUACGGAGGGUGCAAGCGUUAAUCGGAAUUACUGGGCGUAAAGCGCACGCAGGCGGUUUGUUAAGUCAGAUGUGAAAUCCUCGGGCUCAACCUGGGAACUGCAUCUGAUACUGACAAGCUUGAGUCUCGUAGAGGGGGGUAGAAUUCCAGGUGUAGCGGUGAAAUGCGUAGAGAUCUGGAGGAAUACCGGUGGCGAAGGCGGCCCCCUGGACGAAGACUGACGCUCAGGUGCGAAAGCGUGGGGAGCAAACAGG
rnacentral:rRNA from 1 species